AUGAAUAUUCAGAGAUUUGAGAAAAACUCUACAACGGUGGGAUUCCCAAACAUGGAAGUUACGCAAAUGUUCGAAAACCCGCGGACAUUAACUUCUCUGUCUGACCUGGACUCUGGGGCUGGUCAAGUUGGAGACAGUGUUGAGCAAGGAGAGCAAAUGUCACUGUCAUGUAGGGAAGCAGUGAAAAGGCUCCUGACACGUUUGUGCCAGAGUUCAGAGCUCCGUGUGCCAAGCCUUCGGCGUCCCCUGCUGGCCGAGUGUAGAGAGGCGCUACUACAGGAUUUACAAAAAAGACACAGUUUCCAGUUAGAGCACAACCUCCACAGGCUACAUUCAUUCUUGAAUAGGAAUCAAAAGGCUUCUCAGCUCAGCUCAGGACAGAGAGAUGAAAAGUGUUCACCUUCUAGCCAUACAGUGGAGAAUGAGGACAGGUGCUUCAACAGGAACAUGGAGAUAUGGACAGACAGUGCCAUGCAACAAGAUUACUUAACACAGGAUGUUAAGCAGGACUUGGUCAGACGUAGGAUACAAGAGUGGAAGACCUCGUCCAAUCUUUUCUCCCUUGAAGAACCACGACAGUCACACACUGACAUGUUUGACCAGUGGAGGGCAGCUAGGUUGUCUCAGGAUUGCAUAAGAGCUCAGCAUCAUAGCAGAAAGCUCUUUAACCAGGAACAGACCUUUACCCAGCAUGCCGUCCCUAUACUCAAAAGGCCCACCCGGGUUGAUUAUCCUGUGGACUCUUAUUCUCAGCAGCAGUCACUGAGCAGAGGGGAAGGUUUGAAAAACAUAGAUUUAGAUCUCUCAAGAAUCUCUCAACAGUGGAGGGAAGACAAAGAUCUUGAUUUGAAUUCGUAUCACAUAUAUGAGAGCAGAAAACAAAAACCACAAGCGUCUUUUGGAGGAUCGAGAUUCUGGUCGCAUCAGCAGCAAGUUCAGGAUGAAAGAGAAAGACGGGCUCCCUUUUCAUUCUCAGCAUCCUAUCUCUCAGAGGGCUUUCAAUACAAGCCUUUUUUUCGCUGUCCACAUCCAUCUAACACCCAGCACAGUCUUGGUAUGUCUCACUGUCCCGGGACAAACACACCAGAUAGGGUAUUUUACCCUCCCCUUUACCUUUAG
rnacentral:lncRNA from 1 species